AGCUGAAUUAGUUUAAUUUUUAAAAUUUCUAAUUUGUAAUUAGAAGAUUUUUCAGUUU
rnacentral:tRNA from 1 species